AUUGAACGCUGGCGGCAGGCUUAACACAUGCAAGUCGAGCGGGGGAAGGUAGCUUGCUACCGGACCUAGCGGCGGACGGGUGAGUAAUGCUUAGGAAUCUGCCUAUUAGCGGGGGACAACAUCUCGAAAGGGAUGCUAAUACCGCAUACGUCCUACGGGAGAAAGCAGGGGAUCUGUGGACCUUGCGCUGAUUGAUGAGCCUAAGUCGGAUUAGCUAGUUGGUGGGGUAAAGGCCUACCAAGGCGACGAUCUGUAGGGGGUCUGAGAGGAUGAUCCGCCACACUGGGACUGAGACACGGCCCAGACUCCUACGGGAGGCAGCAGUGGGGAAUAUUGGACAAUGGGGGGAACCCUGAUCCAGCCAUGCCGCGUGUGUGAAGAAGGCCUUAUGGUUGUAAAGCACUUUAAGCGAGGAGGAGGCUACUUUAGUUAAUACCUAGAGAUAGUGGACGUUACUCGCAGAAUAAGCACCGGCUAACUCUGUGCCAGCAGCCGCCGCGG
rnacentral:rRNA from 1 species